GGGUGUGAAGAGGAUCUUGCGGCAACAGCUGUCACCCCAUUGAUUGCCACUGCUGCUUUGGCUGGCUAGGAAGCCAGAUCCUUUCCUCCCUAACUACUCCAUGUGCAUCCCUCUUGAUGCUGAACACUCGGUGGAAGAGGAUGACUAUCUCAGAAGUGUAUGAUCUUGGGUGAAGGGUAUACAAUAGCUGUGCUCCCCUGCUAGAAAUUCCAAAUGAGCUCAAACUGGGAAGAGAAAAUUGAGAUCUUCACUAGUGAUCUCUUCUCAGGAUCUAGUUCUUGCACGCAAUAUAUGCUACUUUUC
rnacentral:snRNA from 1 species